rnacentral:rRNA from 1 species
UACAGGGGGUGCAAACGUUGCUCGGAAUCAUUGGGCGUAAAGCGCACGUAGGCGGUUCGUUAUGUCGGAUGUGAAAGCCCUUGGCUUAACCGAGGAAGUGCAUCCGAAACUGGCGAGCUAGAGUACUAAAGAGGAUCGCGGAAUUCCCGGUGUAGAGGUGAAAUUCGUAGAUAGUCGGGAGGAACACCGGUGGCGAAGGCGGGGUCUCUGGGCAGUAACUGACGCUGAGACGCGAAAGCGUGGGGAGCGAACAGG